rnacentral:rRNA from 1 species
AGCGAACGCUGGCGGCAGGCUUAACACAUGCAAGUCGAACGCCCCGCAAGGGGAGUGGCAGACGGGUGAGUAACGCGUGGGAAUCUACCCAGUUCUACGGAACAACUGAGGGAAACUUCAGCUAAUACCGUAUACGCCCUACGGGGGAAAGAUUUAUCGGAAUUGGAUGAGCCCGCGUUGGAUUAGCUAGUUGGUGGGGGAAUGGCCUACCAAGGCGACGAUCCAUAGCUGGUCUGAGAGGAUGAUCAGCCACACGGGGACUGAGCCACGGCCCAGACUCAUGCGGGAGGCAGCAGUGGGGAAUAUUGGACAAGGGGCGCAAGCCUGAUCCAGCCAUGCCGCGUGAGUGAUGAAGGCCUUAGGGUUGUAAUGCGCUUUCAGUGGGGACGAUAAUGACGGUACCCACAGAAGAAGCCCCGGCUAACUUCGUGCCAGCAGCCGCCGUAAUAC